GUCACUUUGGCGGAGUGGUUAACGCGCUGCCCUGCUAAUUAAUAGUUAGCUGUGAGGCAGUUCCUUCGGGAGCGUAGGUUCGAAUCCUACAGGUGACG
rnacentral:tRNA from 1 species